rnacentral:rRNA from 1 species
AGGAAUAUUGGGCAAUGCCCGCAAGGGUGACCCAGCAACGCCGCGUGGAGGAUGAAUGUCGUAAGAUUGUAAACUCCUGUUAGAGGGGAAGAAUAGUACCGGUUGGACCGGUAUAUGACUGUACCCUCAGAGAAAGCCCCGGCUAACUACGUGCCAGCAGCCGCGGUAUUACGUAGGGGGCAAGCGUUGUCCGGAUUUACUGGGUGUAAAGGGCGCGCAGGCGGGAUAAAAAGUCAGUGGUAAAAUCCUACAGCUUAACUGUAGAA